UACGUAGGGGGCGAGCGUUGUCCGGAAUCAUUGGGCGUAAAGAGCGUGUAGGCGGCUUGGCAAGUCUGACGUGAAAGCCCGCGGCUCAACCGCGGAUUGUCGUUGGAAACUGCCUCGCUAGAGUCCGGAAGAGGAGAGCGGAAUUCCGGGUGUAGCGGUGAAAUGCGUAGAUAUCCGGAGGAACACCGGUGGCGAAGGCGGCUUCCUGGACCGACACUGACGCUGAGGCGCGAAAGCUAGGGGAGCAAACGGG
rnacentral:rRNA from 1 species